rfam:Crassostrea gigas strain 05x7-T-G4-1.051#20 contig15403, whole genome shotgun sequence.
GCCUGGGUUACUCAGUGGUAGAGCUCCUGACUAGAGUUGCAGGAGUCCCGGGUUCGAUUCCCAGUCCAGCCA